GCCAAUUUAGCUCAGCUGGUAGAGCAACGCAUUCGUAAUGCGUAGGUCGCGAGUUCAAGUCUCGCAAUUGGCUC
rnacentral:tRNA from 1 species